GCCAUUGUAGUAUAGUGGUCAUUACACCACGUUGUGGCCGUGGAAACACAAGCUCGAUUCUUGUCAAUGGCA